rnacentral:rRNA from 1 species
UGCAGGACUAGUCCCUUUAGUGAGGGUUAAUUCUGAGCUUGGCGUAAUCAUGGUCAUAGCUGUUUCCUGAGGAGGGGGAUAACCCGUUGAAAGACGGACUAAUACCGCAUAAUACUGAAUAACCGCAUGGUUAAUUAGUUAAACAUUUAUGGCUUACAGAUGGGCAUGCGCAUGAUUAGCUAGUUGGUGAGGUAACGGCUCACCAAGGCAACGAUCAUUAGGGGUUCUGAGAGGAAGGUCCCCCACACUGGUACUGAGACACGGACCAGACUCCUACGGGAGGCAGCAGUGAGGAAUAUUGGUCAAUGGGCGAGAGCCUGAACCAGCCAAGUCGCGUGAAGGAUGAAGGUUUUAUGAAUUGUAAACUUCUUUUGCAGGGUAAUAAAGUACGGUACGUGUACCGUUUUGUAUGUACUCUGCGAAUAAGGAUCGGCUAACUCCGUGCCAGCAGCCGCGGUAAUACGGAGGAUCCAAGCGUUAUCCGGAUUUAUUGGGUUUAAAGGGUGCGCAGGCGGGUUGAUAAGUCAGCGGUGAAAGUUUGCAGCUUAACUGUAAAAUUGCCGUUGAAACUGUCGAUCUUGAGUGCAAAUGAGGUAAGCGGAAUGUGUUGUGUAGCGGUGAAAUGCUUAGAUAUAACACAGAACACCGAUUGCGAAGGCAGCUUACUGGGAUGCAACUGACGCUCAUGCACGAAAGCGUGGGGAUCAAACAGGAUUAGAUACCCUGGUAGUCCACGCAGUAAACGAUGAAUACUAACUGUUUGCGAUAUACAGUAAGCGGUACAGCGAAA